rnacentral:lncRNA from 1 species
UUUCGUCGGCUAAAGUGCCUUAUAUUUACAGAUCUAGACAACAACUCAUCUGAGAAAAAAAACUAUACGUAGAACCUUCAAACGCAAAAAAGUCGUGAAAUAAGAUAUGACCAGAAUGGUGAAAUACGUCUACGGUUGAAAAAUCAUAGUAUUCCGGUAAAGUCUCGGUGCCGAUAGUUGACUUACCCUUAUUAUUCACUAUGCUGCAGAUUUGGCGUUUGGUGUCUGAUUGACUAUUGUGAUACCUUUCCGGAAGCGUAACAGCGCUACGAGUCAAACUCAUCGCUAAUGCCAUGAUGUAUAGGCUUUUUUGGCCAUCUGAGUCCGUUUAGGGCUUCAAAAUGCAGUUUUCUUAUUUUCGAUUAGAGUUGACCCUUUCGAUCGAGCCCUUAACGUUGUCGGAUCCAGUUGAAUUUUUUACCAUAGACAUCUUUCGUCAUAAUGAUCAUAUCUGACGGUCGAAUUUUGGUUUGUGAAUUUUAGUCAUCGGAAUCACAACGUGUCUACUAUUUACCGUUAUUCGGGUUUAUGGGGAGCCCUAUCGUCGGAAGGUAAAUGUGUCAAAAUUUUUAUAUGGGCAGUUUCGUCUCAUCUACGUGAGAGUUUUUUGUGUGGAAGGUUUGACCAAACUACGUAAUAUAGAGGGAGAUAUGAGCGUUUUCGUGUGAUAAGUGACGAUGGAUUAUGGUUGACCGUUUCGAUCGAGCCCUUAACGUUGUCGGAUCCAGUUGAAUUUUUUACCAUAGACAUAUUUCGACAUAAUGAUCAUAUCUGACGGUCGAAUUUUGGUUUGUGAAUUUUAGUCAUCGGAAUCACAACGUGUCUACUAAUGUUGUAUAACUUGUUUAGUAGGUUAUACAACUUUGUGAACCAACUCUACAUAGGAAGCAAAAUUAUGAAAAAUCUCGUGAAAUAAGAUGUGUUCAAAAUGGUGAAAUACUGCUAUGGUUCAAAAAUCACGUAAAUCGGGUAAAGUCUUGGAGCCGAUAGUAGCGGUCAACCCUAUUUACCGUUAUUAUUCCUUAUGGGGAGCCCUAUUGUCGGAAGGUAAAUGUCUCAAAAUUUUUAUAUGGGCAGUUGCGUCUCAUCUACGUGAGAGUUUUUUGUGUGGAAGGUUUGACCAAAUUACGUAAUAUAGGGGGAGAUAUGAGCGUUUUCGUGAAUUUAUAGACUUUAGCCGACGAAAAUAUAUGAAAAGUCGUCGGCUAAGGUCAAAAAAUUUCAAAAUUUUUUAGGCGGUAAACCAAAGUUGGAGGAAAAUUUUCAAAGGACUUUAGCCGACGAAAAUAUAUGAAAAGUCGUCGGCUAAAGUCGAAAAAUUUUCAAAAUUUUCAACCAAAAUUUUCAAAAGAGUUUAGCCGACGAAAAUAAAGAAUUUCGUCGGCUAAAGUUCUUUAUAUAGGCGAAGAUGGAUGGUAAGAAGUCUAUUAUCUGCCAGAUUUUCUUCUCGGCCUAGCUCCGCCGUCAAGCCAUCGGAGACCGUCACACUUGUCCCAAAAGCUUCGCCGUCGUCUCUACUUCAUUGCUGGAUAGGUGGUGCAUCGAGUGGCGCCGCCGUGAGGGAUAAAUCGAGCUCCAAAACUCCGCCGGUUCGGAUUCGGUGUCGAUCAAAUUUCUCCUUCCUUAGGUCACCAUUUGGUGAGUUCUAUAUAUGGAUAAGUUGAGUUUGAUUAGUACUACAUUCCCCUAGAAUUUGGUAGCUCGAUUCGGUGUGUGUGAAGAGAAUCGAAGAUUUGAAGUUUUUAGGGUUUAAAAUUGGGGAUUUUUAUAUUUUCAGUCGAUUGACCUGUUUAGACUUAGAAUUGAGCUUCGACUUCUUCUACAAAGUUGUUCGAAAUGUUGAGAGGAAGAAUCUGUCAAAUUUUGGUCGUGNNNN